AGACGAAACGGCAAACCCGUCGCGAGGCGGGGACGCAAAGCCACGGGGCCCUCGCGGUCAGCCGGGCCGCCGAGC
rnacentral:ncRNA from 1 species